rnacentral:rRNA from 1 species
AUUGAACGCUGGCGGCAGGCCUAACACAUGCAAGUCGAGCGGAUGACGGGAGCUUGCUCCUUGAUUCAGCGGCGGACGGGUGAGUAAUGCCUAGGAAUCUGCCUGGUAGUGGGGGACAACGUUUCGAAAGGAACGCUAAUACCGCAUACGUCCUACGGGAGAAAGCAGGGGACCUUCGGGCCUUGCGCUAUCAGAUGAGCCUAGGUCGGAUUAGCUAGUUGGUGGGGUAAUGGCUCACCAAGGCGACGAUCCGUAACUGGUCUGAGAGGAUGAUCAGUCACACUGGAACUGAGGCACGGUCCAGACUCCUACGGGAGGCAGCAGUGGGGAAUAUUGGACAAUGGGCGAAAGCCUGAUCCAGCCAUGCCGCGUGUGUGAAGAAGGUCUUCGGAUUGUAAAGCACUUUAAGUUGGGAGGAAGGGCAGUAAGCUAAUACCUUGCUGUUUUGACGUUACCGACAGAAUAAGCACCGGCUAACUCUGUGCCAGCCGCCGCAGUA